UAUUGGACAAUGGGGGAAACCCUGAUCCAGCAAUGCCGCGUGUGUGAUGAAGGCCUUCGCCCUUGUAAGGCACUUUUGUCAGGGACGAUGAUGACGGUACCUGACGAAUAAGCUCCGGCUAACUUCGUGCCAGCAGCCGCGGUAAUACGAGGGGAGCUAGCGUUGUUCGGAACUACUGGGCGUAAAGGGCGUGUAGGCGGUACCAUAAGUCAGAUGUGAAAGCCCUAGGCUUAACCUAGGAGGUGCAUUUGAUACUGUGGAACUAGAGAUCGAGAGAGGUAAGUGGAAUUACGAGUGUAGAGGUGAAAUUCGUAGAUAUUCGUAAGAACACCAGUGGCGAAGGCGACUUACGGCUCGAUACUGACGCUAAGGCGCGAAA
rnacentral:rRNA from 1 species